rnacentral:rRNA from 1 species
UACAGAGGUCUCAAGCGUUGUUUCGGAUUCAUUGGGCGUAAAGGGUGCGUAGGCGGCGCGGUAAGUCGGGUGUGAAAUCUCGGGCUUAACUCCGAAACUGCAUUCGAUACUACCGUGCUUGGAGGAACUGGGAGAGGAGAUGGAAAUUUACGGUGUAGCGGUGAAAAUGCGUAGAUAUCGUGAAGGAAGACCAGUGGCGAAGCGGG